rnacentral:snRNA from 1 species
UGUCGUUGGUCUCUUUCUGAGUUCUU